AGACCAUGAUGUGGGCAUUUUCUUACUAGGUCUUUGUAUCUCUCCCAUGCUUCAUAUAAUGACUCCAUCUCGAAUUAAGCAAAGGUUGUGAUGUCAUUCCUCAACUU
rfam:Citrus clementina cultivar Clemenules unplaced genomic scaffold scaffold_2, whole genome shotgun sequence.